UGCCAGAAAACUGUGAUGUGACAUUUCCAAGCACAUAUCUGACUGCUUUUUGUGGAAACAUGAGUGAAACAUGAGUAUUUGAGUUUUCUAGAG
rnacentral:snoRNA from 1 species